UGCAGCAGCCAUAUCACCCUGCAACUCACAACUGGCAACCCAAUGAAGCUCAGCAGGUGUGAGCCUGGCCAGUACCUGGAUGGGAGACCUCCUGGGAAAAACUAAGGUUGCUGCUGGAA
rnacentral:rRNA from 1 species